rnacentral:rRNA from 1 species
CCUACGGGUGGCAGCAGUGGGGAAUAUUGGACAAUGGGCGCACGCCUGAUCCAGCCAUGCCGCGUGAGUGAUGAAGGCCUUAGGGUUGUAAAGCUCUUUCGCCGGGGAAGAUAAUGACGGUAACCGGAAACGAAGCCCCGGCUCACUUCGUGCCAGCAGCCGCGGUAAUACGAAGGGGGCUAGCGGUGUUCGGGAUUACUGGGCGUAAAGCGCGCGUAGGCGGAUAGAUAAGUUAGGGGUGAAAUCCCAGGGUUCAACCCUGGAACUGCCUUUAAUACUGUCUAGCUGGAGUAUGGAAGAGGUGAGUGGAAUGUCGAGUGUAGAGGUGAAAUUCGUAGAGAUUCGGAGGAACAUCAGUGGCGAAGGCGGCUCACUGGUCCAUUACUGACGCUGAGGUGCGAAAGCGUGGGGAGCAAACAGGAUUAGAUACCCUUGUAGUC